GGCAUGAGCACAGUGAAGGUAACUAUGAGGCAUGAGCACAGUGAAGGUAACUAUGAGGCAUGAGCACAGUGAAGGUAACUAUGAGGCAUGAGCACAGUGAAGGUAACUAUGAGGCAUGAGCACAGUGAAGGUAACUAUGAGGCAUGAGCACAGUGAAGGUAACUAUGAGGCAUGAGCACAGUGAAGGUAACUAUGAGGCAUGAGCACAGUGAAGGUAACUAUGAGGCAUGAGCACAGUGAAGGUAACUAUGAGGCAUGAGCACAGUGAAGGUAACUAUGAGGCAUGAGCACAGUGAAGGUAACUAUGAGGCAUGAGCACAGUGAAGGUAACUAUGAGGCAUGAGCACAGUGAAGGUAACUAUGAGGCAUGAGCACAGUGAAGGUAACUAUGAGGCAUGAGCACAGUGAAGGUAACUAUGAG